UGGGACUCUUAAUCCCAGGGUCGUGGGUUCGAGCCCCACGUUGGGCGCAUUAAUUUUGUGCCCCCUUCCCCUCCUCCGAUUCCCUUUUGGAGCGCUCCCGGCGGGAAACCGCCCGCUUCACGUUGGGCGCAAAAGUUUUGUGGCCCUCACCCGUUUGGAGGCAUCCAAGCGGGAAAACGCCGCCCCACCAUCUCUGAGGGGGAUUCACCGCCCGCUCCGCCUCGGGCCCAGCGCUCCUGUGCCCCUCACUCUUUAGGAGCGCUCCCGGCGGGAAAGUGCCGCCUCACCACCCUCUCCCAACAUCCCUGAGGGGGAUUCACAGCCUGCUCCACCAGGACGCAGCUAGAGCUGUUUGCAGUUGGUUGGCACCCAUCUUAUGGAAUGGCAUCCAGUCCAGAACCAGGAACUUUAGAGGAAAAUCCUCCAGUUACUGCAGGGGUCCCAGGACUCUGCGCUUCAGCCCAGCAGUAACACGGGAGUCAGGAAUUCUGGUCCUGCCAGAAACAGCAGCUGUUGGAGCUGUUCAGUGAUGCAGAAACCCCACAGGAGAGGAUCUGUGUGGGCAGAACAAAGACAAGGUCGCAGAACACGCCAGGAGAGUUCCAGGGUACAUGUGCACAGCAGUACAGGAAUAUCCUGAAAAAGGCUAAGAAUAUCCUGAAAAAGGCUAAGAAUAUCCUGAAUUUCCUCAGCUGCAGUCUGCUGCAGUUCAGGAAAAUGACAUCAUUGCACCACCACGACCACGGGCUCCAGAGGAGUUUCAUCCUUCCCUCUGAGAACCUUACCGACACGAGUAAUCCCUCCCAGCUCCACAGGGCUUGUGCUGAUGGAAAACUCUCCUCUCGGGAGCAAGCCUUGCUAAGCUCUGGCUCAGCUCUUAUUGAGGUAAAACAUGACCUGGGUCACAGAGGUGCAGCCCAAAUUACUCAAAUUAUAACUGAAAACGAGCAGCAGAGCCUGGGCCUGUGUGUUCUGUACACCUGAGGCUGGCUCUGCGUCUGGCACUGGGACAGCGCCCGUUUAUCCAGCCUGGAAUUCCACCAGAACACGGUCUCUAAAAAACCAACCUCAUCCCAGGACUAUAAGACAACUUCUCACAGCUACCCCUGUCUGUUUUUCCAUGCUUUCUGUGUAACAGCCACGCAGGUCAUCUGAAGUGGGAAGAAGGCAAUUCAAAAACAGCUUCUGCCAGCACCUCUGGGGAGAAAUCACUGGCAGUACUCUGAGACCUCUGUUACCAACCAGCAAAAUCUCACCUAACACAGACUCUAACACUGGAAACAGCAGUUCCUGGGUUUUGUGGCUUUUUUCAUUUGAAAACCAUUAAAUUAAAAGGGAAUAUCUCCUCCCAUGUGCCAACUAACACCACGUGUUAAGGCAAAGUACAUAUGAAACAGAACAGCAAGUGAGCCAGUGAGUCAAGUUUGACCUCACACCCCUGUUUACAAUUAAUUUGUAAUAAUUUAUUACAAUUUAUAAUUCUGAAAUCUUUCUUGGAGGAGAGAUACUGGAAGAGUUUUCAGCUCAGCAUUACAUCAGAACUACAGGCACAAGAGUUCUCUGCUAAAACUCUCAAAACAGGAUGGUGUCCAGGGGAAAUAAUGUCCCACCACCUUUGCUGAACAGCCCCAAACCAUUUCCUCACAGGUGAUUCGAGG